rnacentral:rRNA from 1 species
UACGUAGGUGGCAAGCGUUGUCCGGAUUUACUGGGCGUAAAGGGCGUGCAGGCGGUUUGUUAAGUGCAGGGUGAAAGCUCCCGGCUCAACUGGGAGAGGUCCUUGCAUACUGGCGAACUCGAGGGAGGCAGAGGAAAGUGGAAUUCCCGGUGUAGUGGUGAUAUGCGUAGAUAUCGGGAGGAACACCUGUGGCGAAGGCGGCUUUCUGGGCCUUACCUGACGCUGAGGCGCGAAAGCCAGGGGAGCGAACGGG